GGGUUGUGAGGUUAAGCGACUAAGCGUACACGGUGGAUGCCCUGGCAGUCAGAGGCGAUGAAGGGCGUGCUAAUCUGCGAUAAGCGCCGGUAAGGUGAUAUGAACCGUUAUAACCGGCGAUACCCGAAUGGGGAAACCCAGUGCAAUCCGUUGCACUAUCAUGUCAUGAAUACAUAGUGGCAUGAGGCGAACCGGGGGAACUGAAAACAUCUAAGUACCCCGAGGAAAAGAAAUCAACCGAGAUUCCCCCAGUAGCGGCGAGCGAACGGGGAGGAGCCCAGAACCUGAAUCAGCAUGUGUGUUAGUGGAACGUCUGGAAAGUCGCAGGGUACAGGGUGAUACUCCCGUACACAAAAAUGCACAUGUUGUGAGUUCGAAGAGUAGGGCGGACACGUGGUAUCCUGUCUGAAUAUGGGGGGACCAUCCUCCAAGGCUAAAUACUCCUGACUGACCGAUAGUGAACCAGUACCGUGAGGGAAAGGCGAAAAGAACCCCGGCG
rnacentral:rRNA from 1 species